CCCUUAGAUGUUCUGGGCCGCACGCGCGCUACACUGAUGCAUUCAACGAGCCUAUCCUUGACCGACAGGUCCGGGUAAUCUUUGAAUCUGCAUCGUGACGGGGAUAGAUUAUUGCAAUUAUUAAUCUUCAACGAGGAAUGCCUAGUAGGCGAAAGUCAUCAGCUUGCGUCGAUUACGUCCCUGCCCUUUGUACACACCGCCCGUCGCUCCUACCGAUUGGGUGUGCUGGUGAAAUGUUCGGAUCGGCCGUUUGUCGCGGUUUCCGCGGCUCGUGGCUGAGAAGUUCAUUAAACCCUCCCACCUAGAGGAAGGAGAAGUCGUAACA
rnacentral:rRNA from 1 species